ACGGGUGAGUAACACGUGGGAACGUGCCCUUCGGUUCGGAAUAACUCAGGGAAACUUGAGCUAAUACCGGAUACGCCCUUAUGGGGAAAGGUUUACUGCCGAAGGAUCGGCCCGCGUCUGAUUAGCUUGUUGGUGGGGUAACGGCCUACCAAGGCGACGAUCAGUAGCUGGUCUAAGAGGAUGAUCAGCCACACUGGGACUGAGACACGGCCCAGACUCCAACGGGAGGCAGCAGUGGGGAAUAUUGGACAAUGGGCGCAAGCCUGAUCCAGCCAUGCCGCGUGAGUGAUGAAGGCCUUAGGGUUGUAAAGCUCUUUUGUCCGGGACGAUAAUGACGGUACCGGAAGAAUAAGCCCCGGCUAACUUCGUGCCAGCAGCCGCGGUAAUACGAAGGGGGCUAGCGUUGCUCGGAAUCACUGGGCGUAAAGGGCGCGUAGGCGGCCGAUUAAGUCGGGGGUGAAAGCCUGUGGCUCAACCACAGAAUUGCCUUCGAUACUGGUUGGCUUGAGACCGGAAGAGGACAGCGGAACUGCGAGUGUAGAGGUGAAAUUCGUAGA
rnacentral:rRNA from 1 species